rnacentral:lncRNA from 1 species
UGUCUUAACGAUUUUCUCUAGCGGUAAAUUAAGUCGAUUAAGACUUGAUCAGACCAAAAUGACCGUUUCAGACUUAAAUCUGGCUACUAGUGCUCGUACUAACAAUUGUUAAGUCUAGUUUUUUAUUAUAAUUAGACUUCUGUUGACCUUAGAAUGACAACCAUGCGUCAAAUAGAUUAUAACGCAUCAGCGUAGGGACCAUCGCAUUUUGGCGUAGAUGAUCGCACUUCAGCGUUACCAUCGCACUUCAGCCUCCCCAUCGCACCUCCGAGUUCUAUAUAUAGACAUAUAUUCAUUUAUUUGUAUUAUGACUGUUACUGUUUUUGUCUUUGUAGAUAUUCCAACAGGGCAGCGUCCACUGCAGAUGUUAUAUGUGAUGGAUUUCUCCUUUAUAAUUACUUAUAAAUCGAAAAUCAAC